rnacentral:rRNA from 1 species
UACGGGGGGGGCUAGCGUUGCUCGGAAUCACUGGGCGUAAAGCGCACGUAGGCGGAUUGUUAAGUCGGGGGUGAAAUCCUGGAGCUCAACUCCAGAACUGCCUUCGAUACUGGCGAUCUUGAGUCCGGGAGAGGUGAGUGGAACUCCGAGUGUAGAGGUGAAAUUCGUAGAUAUUCGGAAGAACACCAGUGGCGAAGGCGGCUCACUGGCCCGGUACUGACGCUGAGGUGCGAAAGCGUGGGGAGCAAACAGG